rnacentral:miRNA from 1 species
UGUCACGGACAGAACCCCACUC